rnacentral:rRNA from 1 species
CUACAAGAAUUGACGGGACCCGCACAAGCGGUGGAUGAUGUGGUUUAAUUCGAUGCAACGCGAAAAACCUUACCCACCUUUGACAUGUACGGAACCCUUUAGAGAUAGAGGGGUGCUCGAAAGAGAGCCGUAACACAGGUGCUGCAUGGCUGUCGUCAGCUCGUGUCGUGAGAUGUUGGGUUAAGUCCCGCAACGAGCGCAACCCUUGUCAUUAGUUGCUACAUUCAGUUGGGCACUCUAAUGAGACUGCCGGUGACGAGCCGGAGGAAGGUGGGGAUGACGUCAAGUCCUCAUGGCCCUUAUAGGUGGGGCUACACACGUCAUACAAUGGCUGGUACAAAGGGUUGCCAACCCGCGAGGGGGAGCCAAUCCCAUAAAGCCAGUCGUAGUCCGGAUCGUAGUCUGCAACUCGACUACGUGAAGUCGGAAUCGCUAGUAAUCGUGGAUCAGAAUGUCACGGUGAAUACGUUCCCGGGUCUU